rnacentral:ncRNA from 1 species
GUGUUGUAUGAAAGGAGAGAAGGUUAGCACUCCCCUUGACAAGGAGGGAAGGGGCCCUCAGGCCUGACAACAUGCAUAAGGCACUGUCACCUUCUUAGAGGCAUCUAAACAGCAGUUGAA